GCUGGGCGUGGUGGUGGUUGCCUGUAAUCCCAGCUACUUGGGAGGCUGAGGCAGGAGAAUCACUUGAACCCAGGAGGCAGAGGUUGCAGUGAGCUGAGAUCACGCCACUGCAUUCCAGCCUGGGUGACAGAGUGAGACUCCGUCUCAA
rnacentral:SRP_RNA from 1 species